GGGGGGAAGCUUUGAGAGCUGCCGUUAUCUAAUGAACAUUCAAAGUAAAUAUGAGACCACUGAAAAGCAGGAGAAAAUGCAAAAGAUGUCAUUGAAAUGCUACAAGCCUUGUUGUCAAGAUUUUUAUGGUGCUUUUCAUCAAAAUGUUGAAAACUGAAAGCUUCCAGCUGGCUCUCCUUACAGUCCAUAGCUGCUGGCAUGGCAAUGGACUGAAGAGAGGACAGAAACAAUAUCUCCAGCAAAAGCUAUGUGAAAGGAAAACACAGGGAGAAUAACAAAGGAAUAAUAGUAUUUGCCUUAUUCUAAUCCAGUUUCCAACAUCCACUGUAUUUAACAAAUGAAAUCAAGGCCACAGUCGUUAAUACCAGGGUGCUCCAGGUCAUUUUUUCUCUGUGUAUUUUAACCCACAACCAAAUUGAGGUUCACAUUGCCGAGCAUGAGCAGUUCCUAAAAAACAGCCCUUACACAAAGACACUAUAAUAUUUCUGGC